CGCUGACAAUGAAAACUACAGCUCCUAUAAAGUGCUGAUCAAAUUGCGAAAGGUGGCCUUUCCCAGCAGCCUGGCACACUCUAGCAUUAUCCCAGCUUAUAAAUAAACGGAUGGGCUGAGCCACUUUGGCUUUUUUUUUUUUUUUUUUUUUUCCCUCUUAGUCCUUACCAAGAUAAUUGAGGAUCAUAAUGGUGGGAAAGGACUGCAGUCAUCAUUCGCUGCCUGUCAGGUCACCGGCCUUUCCAGUGCAGAUACUGCCCAUACAGUGCCUCUCAGAAGGGAAACCUGAAGACCCACGUUCUCUGUGUCCAUCGCAUGCCUUUCGACAACAGCCAGUACCCCGACCGCAGGUUCAAGCGCUCCAGGGUUGACUCCGAAGCUUCUGGGAAUUUGGAGGAACCCGCAGCUGUCAAGCCGGGGAGCUCGGCAGAGCCAGCAGAGGAGGGCAGCAAGGCCCAGGAGUGACGCUGCUCGGAGGGUCCCUCUCCGUCCUGCAGUAGCCUUUCACACCAGGUUUAGAUUCGUGUUUGGGUGAGAGCUGGCUUAAAAUACCUUCCAGGGAAGGCUUAAAAUACCAUCCAGGGAAGGGAUGACAAGUUCCCAGAAGUGUACAGGAUGCUGAAAACAUUUAAGUGUGUGUAUAUGUACGUGUACACACGCACAUAUAUAUAUAUUUACAGACACACAGAGAUUCAGUCGCACACACACUGAAUAUAUAUCUACAUACACACACACACAGAGACACAAAAUACACACAUUCCAUAUGUGUGUGUGUGUGUAAAUAUAUAUAUUACACACUCAAAAUAAAUUUUCCAGCCCUUGAAAAUGGCUGCUAAACAGUUACCUGGCAACAAGUACUUCCAAACAACGUAGGUGGGAUAAUAAAGUGAUUUGAAAAUGUUGGGAGGUUGUUAGUUAUUUAAAAAGCAGGGCAAUAUCAAACUUAAAAGUGAUCUUCGUCCAAAAAUAAUGCUCUUAACAGAAAAAUGAUACCCUCUAAAUGAUUUAGUGUUGCCUUGAAGAUUGAGGGGCUGUGUUUUCAUUGUUGAAAACACCUUUAUAAUAUGACACCAGCUGCUGUCAUUUGCCUAGCAUAGUAAUGAGAUGUCUUGGUAGACUGCCAUGGUGCCAGUCUGACUGGAGCUGUCAUUGCAGAGAAAAUCAAUUCAAGUGGUGUUGCAACUGCAGUGUAGGAGAAACCUUAGACGGCCCAUAAGCUGGGGUCAGUACUGACCUAUAUUGAAAAGUAUUGUGACAUUACAUUUCCUUUUUUUAUUCUUUUUUUUUUUUAAAUAUACAGCCAAAUGAAUCAAUGGUUAGGAAAAAUAAAUCUGUGGCCCGAAGUGUGACUGCAGAUUUGAAAUGUAAUUCCAUUUUUUGUAAUCAUUUUCAGUAUUGAGGGAAAUGCUUUUAUUCUUUUUUUUUCUUGUUGAUGAAGAAGUAAGUUGCUAUAAAAGUAGAAAUACAAUGUAUAGAAAUAUUGUUUAGUGAAACUAGUCAGCCUUAUCUAUAGAAGGUGCUGGUGAGAAACAGAAUUUUAUUACAUAGGAGGUUGGUAAUUUUUUUUCUUCUUCCAUUCUUUGCUUUUCUUAUUGGUUUUUCAAACUUCCUUUAAUUUUUUUUUUUUUUUUUUUUUUUUUUUUUACACUUGAAUGAAGGAUUCCCUAGUCACGGUUAAUUUUCAUGUAUUAGUUUUUAUAAGUGUUACAGACAUAGUGCAGAAGUUUCUUCUGGAGCAAGCCCUUAUAAAGUAGCUUGACCUAAAAUAUGAAUCCAAACUUUCUGCUCUUUGUCUCUAAUGAAGAAAAGUGUUUUAGACUAUAUUUCUUUGAUUUUGUAAAACAAAUGUGUUCUAUAUUUUUGCAGAUUUUAGCUUUUUUACUGAUUGGAUGCUCCAAAUUUAGUAAGGUCUUUGCCACAUAGGAAGCUUUUGAGAGACUAUAACAAACCACAUACUUAAAGAAAGUAAGAAAAAUAACUAAAGGUUUAUUCUGGAAUUCUCUGAAUGGCAUAAAAUUUUAUCCUUCUAAUGUACUUCCUUUGAUAGAAGCAAAAUUGGUGCUGUUUCUUGUGAUGGUAGAGAAGUAUUAACUUCUUCUAAAACAAAAUCAUCCAGACUUUAAAAAAAAAAAAAAAGAAAAAAGUUUAAAAAAAGUCAAUAUUUCUUUGCAGGCUGGGAGCACAGAGUAAAACCCCAGGGCCUUAAAACUUCAGCUCUGCCUAAAGCAGUUUACAAAAAAUACUAAACUGCAAUCAAUGUAAAUAAAAUUCUUAGCGCUACCCUGAGACUGGAAAAAAAAAAAUCUCAGGCUAAUAAGGAAUACGGUUUGCAUAUGCUGUCGGAAAGGAUGUCAUCCAACUGAAGUUUCAGUUUAAAUGAGGUCACUGUGUAACUUGGACCCAUCUGGCACAGAGCAAGCUGCUUUUCUUGUUUUUCUAGUAUAGUUCUCACUGCCUUACUUAAAUCGAGUUGAUAAACUUAAUGCAACUGUUUCUAUGAUCCUAGAUAAAGGAUUGAAAUGUUAUUGAACCUUUCUGACUGUAGUAAGCUUUAGGAUUUUAACUGCACUACUGUGUUUGGUGACUGUGUCAGUCGCUUGCUUUGUGUGUUUGCGCCGCCUUCGGUAUCUUAGCAAAAAAAACGAAAAA